rnacentral:lncRNA from 1 species
AGGUGGGUUACAUCGGUUUCUACUCCUAAGUUCAUAUUCGUCGGCAUGUAUAAUUAUCGACCUUUGGAUAUUCUAUUCUAGCUCGAAUUCAUGGAUUAAAUGGUAGAUUGCAUAUCUGAAUUUGGAGCAUGUGGUAAUAAAUUGAAUAGGUUAUACAUAUNUGACAGUUCCAUCACAUCACAAAAAUAGUUAAUACUAAUUAUCAAAUAUUCUAUCAAUCAUCUAAUAUGCUUUUGUAGUGUAUAAAAUAUUAGUAUACGCAAGAUGCUAGCAAAGAUUUCUUUUCUUUUUCUCUUAAGCAUUCUCUAUUCCAGAUGUAUAUAAGAAAAUACACCACAUACUUAAAAUCUUUAAUAGAGAUUUUAAAAUUUAAUUCAGUAAUAUGAUUAAUUUAUUAGACUUUAUAAUUCAGGUAUAUUUAAUUAAGUUUUGAUAUUAGAAAUUAGUUUUUUAAAAUAGAUGUGGUUUAUAAUAUGUUAAUAUACACCAGGUGCAUACAAUAAUUUCUUCUUUCUCAAAUAAAUUUUAACAAGGUAAAGACAACAUCAUAUAUAUUUGGCAAUUUAAAAAAAGUCCUCCAAUUUUAACUUUUUAAUUAAAAAUUUAUUUAUAAAAUAGUUACUAAAAUUAUUAAGUUUGAUUGAAUUUUUAUGUGAAGUUAUUAGAAUACUUUAACUCUACAAAUACUGAAAAUUAAAAGAUAUUAAUAAAAAAUUAGUUUUUAUAAUGUAUAAAAGGCUAUAUGAGUUUUUUUUUAUAUAUUUUUAUUAUAAUUUUUUAAUUUUAAAAUUUUAAAAAUUAUAUAUGUUGAUUGACUGAAAUAUUAUCAACUUGUUGCGAAACGCGGACCCUACACUAAUCUUCUAUUCUUUUUCUACUACAUUAAAGGAGGCUUUGGGAGACCAAAAUGUGACACGUGUCCCCCCCCCUACUCUCNGUCGGCAUGUAUAAUUAUCGACCUUUGGAUAUUCUAUUCUAGCUCGAAUUCAUGGAUUAAAUGGUAGAUUGCAUAUCUGAAUUUGGAGCAUGUGGUAAUAAAUUGAAUAGGUUAUACAUAUUGGACUUGGAAAUUGAAUUAGAAGAAAACCUGCGAUUUGGACCUGUC